GACGAACGCUGGCGGCGUGCUUAACACAUGCAAGUCGAACGGUAAGGCCCUUCGGGGUACACGAGUGGCGAACGGGUGAGUAACACGUGGGUGAUCUGCCCUGCACUUCGGGAUAAGCCUGGGAAACUGGGUCUAAUACCGGAUAGGACCACUGCCUGGAUGGGUGGUGGUGGAAAGCUUGUGCGGUGUGGGAUGGGCCCGCGGCCUAUCAGCUUGUUGGUGGGGUGAUGGCCUACCAGGGCGACGACGGGUAGCCGGCCUGAGAGGGUGACCGGCCACACUGGGACUGAGAUACGGCCCAGACUCCUACGGGAGGCAGCAGUGGGGAAUAUUGCACAAUGGGCGCAAGCCUGAUGCAGCGACGCCGCGUGAGGGAUGACGGCCUUCGGGUUGUAAACCUCUUUCAGCACCGACGAAGCGCAAGUGACGGUAGGUGCAGAAGAAGGACCGGCCAACUACGUGCCAGCAGCCGCCGUAA
rnacentral:rRNA from 1 species